CACGUAGGGGCCAAGCGUUUGUCCGGAUUUAUUGGGCGUAAAGAGCUCGUAGGCGGUUGGGUAAGUCGGGUGUGAAAACUCCAGGCUCAACUUGGAGACGCCACCCGAUACUGCUCUGACUUGAGUUCGGUAGGGGAGUGGGGAAUUCAUGGUGUAGCAGUGAAAUGCGUAGAGAUCAUGAGGAAGACCAGUGGCGAAGGCGGGUCUCUGGACAGUUCCUGACACUGAGGCACGAAGGCCAGGGGAGCAAACGGG
rnacentral:rRNA from 1 species